rnacentral:rRNA from 1 species
UGGGGAAUAUUGCACAAUGGAGGGAACUCUGAUGCAGCGACGCCGCGUGAGUGAUGAAGGAAUUCGUUUCGUAAAACUCUGUUCUAUGGGAAGAAAAGGACUGUACCAUAGGAGAAAGCUCCGGCUAAAUACGUGCCAGCAGCCGCGGUAAUACGUAUGGAGCGAGCGUUGUCCGGAAUUAUUGGGCGUAAAGGGUGCGCAGGCGGCUUUACAAGUUGGAUGUGAAAUAUUGUGGCUCAACCACAAACGUGCAUCCAAAACUGCAAAGCUUGAGUUAAGGAGAGGUAAGUGGAAUUCCUGGUGUAGCGGUGGAAUGCGUAGAUAUAAGGAGGAAUACCGGUGGCGAAGGCGACUUACUGGACUUAAACUGACGCACAGGCACGAAAGCGUGGGGAGCAAACAGG